CAGCCGCCGCGGUAAUACGUAGGUGGCAAGUGUUGUCCGGAAUUAUUGGGCGUAAGGGGCUCGCAGGCAGUUUCUUAAGUCUGAUGUGAAAGCCCCCGGCUCAACCGGGGAGGGUCAUUGGAAACUGGGAAACUUGAGUGCAGAAGAGGAGAGUGGAAUUCCACGUGUAGCGGUGAAAUGCGUAGAGAUGUGGAGGAACACCAGUGGCGAAGGCGACUCUCUGGUCUGUAACUGACGCUGAGGAGCGAAAGCGUGGGGAGCGAACAGGAUUAGAUACCCGCGUAGUCCCUGUCUCUUAUAC
rnacentral:rRNA from 1 species